CCCCUUAACCUUCUAAAUCAUCGACCCAUAACCCAUAACCCUUCUAAUGACACAAUGUGAUUUAUUCUCAUUGCUCUACAUGUUAAAGUGAAGAAAUUCAACCAAUCGCGGGUAAAUGGCGGGAGUAACUAUGACUAUCUUAAGGUAGCUAGAUGCCUCGUCAUCUAAUUAGUGAUGCUCAUGAAUGGAUCAUUAACGAGAUUCCCCAAUGUGCAUAGCUACUAUAUUCUAGAGAAACCACAUCCAAGGGAAUGGGCUUGGCAAGAUUAGCGGGGAAAGAAGACCCUCAUGUUGAGCUUGACUCUAUUCCUAACCCAUUCAUAGUUUGGGAAAAUUAGGGCAUAGUUUGGGAAAAUUAGACCAUAACAUUUUGUCUUUGGGAGUCAAAUUGAUGAUGGAAACAAGUGGGUGUGUGAGUCAAAUUUGAGCCCAAAAACCCUCCCAUAUCGUUAAGGCAUGUGAAUAGUCUAUCUACGAUCAUGAUGGUAUAAAAAUGAAUGAGCUUCUCUUGUGUCAACCAAUUUGUGUACUUUGAAAGAAAAAUAGGGUUUAUGGUUUACAUGACGAAUUGAUGAUGGAAACAAGUGGGUGUGUGAGUCAAAUUUGAGUCCAGAAACCCUCCCAUACCAUUAAGGCAUGUGA
rnacentral:ncRNA from 1 species